AGUUUUGGUUGGGUUAAAAAAAAAGGAAAAAAAUUAGUUUUGGUU
rnacentral:sRNA from 1 species